UCAAAAACAUGGCUUUUUGAUAUAUAAUUUAAAGUUUGGCCUGCUCUAUGAGGAAUUAAAUGGCCGCGGUAUUUUGACCGUGCUAAGGUAGCAUAAUCAUUAGUUUCUUAAUUAGAAGCUGGAAUGAAUGGUUGGAUGAGAAAAAUUCUGUCUCUAUUUAAAAUUAUUAGAAUUUUAUUUUUAAGUUAAAAAGCUUAAAUUAUUUUGAAAGACGAGAAGACCCUAUAGAGUUUAAUAUUUAAUUUAAUUAAUAUUUUAUAGAAUAUUAUUUUUUAAUUAAUGUAAAUAUUUAGUUGGGGUGAUUGAAAAAUUUAAUAAACUUUUUUGUUUUUGAACCAUAGAUUUAUGAUUAUUUGAUCCAUAUUUAUUGAUUAAAAGAUUAAAUUACCUUAGGGAUAACAGCGUAAUGUUUUUUAAGAGUUCUAAUCGAAAAAAAAGCUUGCGACCUCGAUGUUGGAUUAAAAUUAAUUUCUGGUGCAGAAGUUGGAAAUAUUAGGUCUGUUCGACCUUUAAAAUUUUACAUGAUCUGA
rnacentral:rRNA from 1 species